UCCUCGGUGGUGGAAAUGGUUAACAUGCUCGGCUGCUAACUGAAAGGUUGGAGGUUCGAGUGCACCCAGAGGUG
rfam:Loxodonta africana unplaced genomic scaffold scaffold_8, whole genome shotgun sequence.